AGGUAAUUAACUCAAUAGGUAGAGUAUCAGUUUUACAUACUGAAAGUUAUAAGUUCAAAUCUUAUAUUACCUA
rnacentral:tRNA from 2 species